UCAAGCAAAGGUUGUUACUCAGUGUCGUGGGCUUACACUGACUGGAGAUGUACAAGACCUCAUCCAAAAUGCUGAAGCCACUGAAGUAGAUGAUGGCUGGGACAGUGACAUGUCAUCAAUGCUGUUGCUGGUUCACCUUCUGCCACCUUCAAGCCAAGGCCGAAAAAGACCAGGGAAAAUCUCAGCCAGACAAGCAUGCGACAGUCUUGUAAAAUUCAUCAAGAUUGGGACCAGCAUCCAAGGACACCUGGACAACAUCUCUGGGAGUCUCCAGCCAUACCUACUUGCUGUUGGUGCCAAGAAGAGCAUGAUCGAGUCUUACUACAUCGUGAUCGACAA